rnacentral:rRNA from 1 species
ACGCUGGCGGCAUGCCUAACACAUGCAAGUCGAACGAGACCUUCGGGUCUAGUGGCGCACGGGUGCGUAACGCGUGGGAAUCUGCCCUGGGGUGCGGAAUAACUCGGAGAAAUCCGUGCUAAUACCGCAUAAUGUCUUCGGACCAAAGAUUUAUCGCCCUGGGAUGAGCCCGCGUAGGAUUAGCUAGUUGGUGGGGUAAAGGCCUACCAAGGCGACGAUCCUUAGCUGGUCUGAGAGGAUGAUCAGCCACACUGGGACGGAGACACGGCCCAGACUCCUACGGGAGGCAGCAGUGGGAAUAUUGGACAAUGGGCGAAAGCCUGAUCCAGCAAUGCCGCGUGAGUGAUGAAGGCCCUAGGGUUGUAAAGCUCUUUUACCCGGGAUGAUAAUGACAGUACCGGGAGAAUAAGCUCCGGCUAACUCCGUG